GCAGACCACUCCUACGGGAGGCAGCAGGUGGGGAAUAUUGCACAAUGGGCGCAAGCCUGAUGCAGCCAUGCCGCGUGUAUGAAGAAGGCCUUCGGGUUGUAAAGUACUUCAGCAGUGAGGAAGGUGGGUAUGUUAAUAGCAUACUCAUUUGACGUUAGCUGCAGAAGAAGCACCGGCUAACUCCGUGCCAGCAGCCGCGGUAAUACGGAGGGUGCGAGCGUUAAUCGGAAUUACUGGGCGUAAAGCGCAUGCAGGUGGUUUGUUAAGUCAGAUGUGAAAGCCCGGGGCUCAACCUCGGAAUUGCAUUUGAAACUGGCAAACUAGAGUACUGUAGAGGGGGUAGAAUUUCAGGUGUAGCGGUGAAAUGCGUAGAGAUCUGAAGGAAUACCGGUGGCGAAGGCGGCCCCCUGGACAGAUACUGACACUCAGAUGCGAAAGCGUGGGGAGCAAACAGGAUUAGAUACCCUGGUAG
rnacentral:rRNA from 1 species